rnacentral:tRNA from 1 species
GCCGCUGUAGCUCAGCAUGGUAGAGCAAAUUUAUUGUAACCAGUGGGUCAUCAGUUCGAGUCUGAUCAGCGGCG